GAGGGUACAGCUCAAGUGGUAGAGCGCAUGCUUAGCAUGCAUGAGGUCCUGGGUUCAAUCCCCACUACCUCCU
rnacentral:tRNA from 1 species